AUGGAGGUAUACGGCUUCAGCGACUCCUUCAGUGGGGUGGACUCCGUGCAGGAGCUGGCCCCGCCGCCCGCCCUACCCCCCAAGCAGCGGCAGCUCAGGCCUCCUGUGCUGCUUCUUCCUUCUCCUCUGUCUCCCACUGUGUCCAGCAAACUAAAGUGGCCUUCACCCCCGAGGACGGCAGUGCCGCUCAGGGCCUCAGUGUGUCCGUCUCUAACUCCUUUCUCAGCCGGCACGGCAGCUUGCCCGUGCCCUCUAUAAGUCUGUGUUUAGGUCCUACUCCCAGGAUUUCGUGCCUCACCACCAAGCUUCCGUUCCGCCUUUCCUUCCGCCUACCUCCUCUUCCUCUCCACAUUUCCCACCUGCCCACCAGUCUCAGAGCUCUGACUUAGCCGUGCCAACCAUGGCCGGUCCACCUCCCAGCACCGUGGACGGGCCUCUCUCGGCUUCUCAGGAGAGCAGCUUUCAUGGGAAUACUGUCUGCCUUCCUUCCGAAACCUCUUUCACUGACUCGAGCCACCGGCUGGGAAAGACGGACAUCCCAGAGAUCCCUCAGCGGUCAGCGGCGUCCCUGGGAAGGACAGCAGAGACGGCAGUGAGAGGCCCCAAAGUCACCAGAUGCUCUGGAGUCGGC
rnacentral:lncRNA from 1 species